AGGCCUGAAGUAUUUUCAGCCUGUUACAUAAAUAUUUUUUAUACUUCUUUGGUAAUAUGGACUAAAUCAAAGACUUAAAAUGACAGAUUCUUGGUUAAAGUCCGUGUCUUCAGACAGUGCCAGCAGUAAGCAUUGCCUGAUGUGGCAACUUAAAGCUUUUAUAGUUAUUUACAAUUUUGAAAAAAGAUUGGUUAUUUCAUGGUACCUUAAUUGUAUAUACCGUAUUAUACUCAUUUCAUGAAUUAAGCAUUUCAAUACCAACUUUGCUCAAAGGUUGUUACCAGUAUUAAUAUUAGGGUUGUUUUCAGGUACUUAUUGGUUUGAGAUAUCUGGCCAAGGGUGAUUUCUUGUCUGAAGUGGCAGAUUUACAUGGAGUUAGUAGGUCCAUUGCAUGCCAUAUCAUUGAUAACUUUGUAGAUGCAGUAAAUGAUAGACUUGACAAUAUCAGAUUCCCAGGAGGUAUGGAUUUGGCUGACGUGAAGCAGGCUUUCUUCAGGAAAUGCAAUAUA
rnacentral:lncRNA from 1 species